AUUGAACGCUGGCGGCAGGCCUAACACAUGCAAGUCGAGCGGAGCGGCGGACGGGUGCGUAAUGAUUAGGAAUCUGCCUGGUAGCGGGGGAUAACGUCCGGUAACGGGAGCUAAUACUGCAUACUAUUAGAAUCGCAUAGGUCGGAUUAGCUAGGUGGUGGGGUAAAGGCCUACCAAGGCGACGAUCCGUAACUGGUCUGAGAGGAUGAGCAGUCACACUGGAACUGAGACACGGUCCAGAGUCCUACGGGAGGCAGCAGUGGGGAAUAUUGGACAAGGGGCGAAAGCCUGAUCCAGCCAUGCCGCGUGUAUGAAGAAGGCCUUCGGGUUGUAAAGUACUUUCAGCGGGGAGGCGUUACCCGCAGAAGAAGCACCGGCUAACUCCGUGCCAGCAGCCGCGGUAAUUC
rnacentral:rRNA from 1 species